rnacentral:rRNA from 1 species
UUUGUGGAGAGUUUGAUUCUGGCUCAGAACGAACGCUGGCAGCGUGGAUUAGGCAUGCAAGUCGAACGAGAGCUGAUGGUAUAGCAAUAUAUUGUCAGCAAAAGUGGCGGAAGGGCGAGUAACACGUGGGCAAUCUGCCUCCAAGUUGGGGACAACCCCGCGAAAGCGGGGCUAAUACCGGAUGUGGUUGCUGGUCGCAUGACUGGCGGAUCAAAGGUGGGGAUCCUUCGGGACCUGCCGCUUGGAGAGGAGCUCGCGUCCUAUCAGCUUGUUGGUGAGGUAACGGCUCACCAAGGCUAAGACGGGUAGCUGGUCUGAGAGGAUGGUCAGCCGCACUGGGACUGAGACACUGCCCAGACUCCUACGGGAGGCUGCAGUCGAGGAUCUUCUGCAAUGGGCGAAAGCCUGACAGAGCGACGCUGCGUGGAGGAUGAAGGCCUUCGGGUCGUAAACUCCUGUCAUCUGGGAAUAAU